rnacentral:rRNA from 1 species
UACGUAGGUGGCAAGCGUUGUCCGGAUUUAUUGGGCCUAAAGCAUCCGUAGCCGGUUCUACAAGUCUUCCGUUAAAUCCAACUGCUUAACAGGUGGGCUGCGGAAGAUACUAUAGAGCUAGGAGGCGGGAGAGGCAAGCGGUACUCGAUGGGUAGGGGUAAAAUCCGUUGAUCCAUUGAAGACCACCAGUGGCGAAGGCGGCUUGCCAGAACGCGCUCGACGGUGAGGGAUGAAAGCUGGGGGAGCAAACCGG